UACGUAGGGUGCAAGCGUUAAUCGGAAUUACUGGGCGUAAAGCGUGCGCAGGCGGUUGUGCAAGACAGAUGUGAAAUCCCCGGGCUUAACCUGGGAAUUGCAUUUGUGACUGCACGGCUAGAGUGUGUCAGAGGGGGGUAGAAUUCCACGUGUAGCAGUGAAAUGCGUAGAUAUGUGGAGGAAUACCGAUGGCGAAGGCAGCCCCCUGGGAUAACACUGACGCUCAUGCACGAAACGCGUGGGGAGCAAACAGG
rnacentral:rRNA from 1 species